rnacentral:rRNA from 1 species
AGAGUUUGUCCUGGCUCAGGACGAACGCUGGCGGCGUGCUUAACACAUGCAAGUGGUGCGACGAACCAGGGCUUGCCCUGGGGCUAAGCCGCGAACGGGUGAGUAACACGUGAGUAAUCUGCCCCGAUGACCGGGACAACCCGAGGAAACUCGGGCUAAUACCGGAUGUGGUGCACAGGUUUAAGCUUGUGUACUAAAGGAAGCUUCGGCCUCCGCAUUGGGAGGAGCUCGCGGCCCAUUAGCUUGUUGGUGGGGUAACGGCCUACCAAGGCAACGAUGGGUAGCUGGUCUGAGAGGACGAUCAGCCACACUGGGACUGAGACACGGCCCAGACUCCUACGGGAGGCAGCAGUGGGGAAUCUUGCGCAAUGCGCGAAAGCGUGACGCAGCAACGCCGCGUGGGGGAAGACGGCCUUCGGGUUGUAAACCCCUUUCAGGAGGGACGAAGGUUCACCGGUGAAUAGCCGUGUGGAUUGACGGUACCUCCACAAGAAGCUCCGGCUAANUACGUGCCAGCCGCCGCGGUAAUUC